GGAUCUCGAAAGCCUGUCCCAGUUCGGACUGGAGUCUGCAACCCGACUCCACGAAGUUGGAUUCGCUAGUAAUCGCGCAUCAGCCAUGGCGCGGUGAAUACGUUCCCGGGCCUUGUACACACCGCCCGUCAAGCCAUGGGAGCCGGGGGGCGCCUGAAGUCCGGGACCGCGAGGACCGGCCUAGGGCGAAACUGGUAACUGGGGCUAAGUCGUAACAAGGUAUC
rnacentral:rRNA from 1 species